CGCUGGCGGCGUGCUUAACACAUGCAAGUCGAACGGAAAGGCCCUUCGGGGUACUCGAGUGGCGAACGGGUGAGUAACACGUGGGUGAUCUGCCCUGCACUUCGGGAUAAGCCUGGGAAACUGGGUCUAAUACCGGAUAUGACCUUGGGAUGCAUGUCCUUUGGUGGAAAGCUUUUGCGGUGUGGGAUGGGCCCGCGGCCUAUCAGCUUGUUGGUGGGGUUAAGGCCUACCAAGGCGACGACGGGUAGCCGGCCUGAGAGGGUGACCGGCCACACUGGGACUGAGAUACGGCCCAGACUCCUACGGGAGGCAGCAGUGGGGAAUAUUGCACAAUGGGCGCAAGCCUGAUGCCAGCGACGCCGCGUGAGGGACGACGGCCUUCGGGUUGUAAACCUCUUUCAGCACAGACGAAGCGCAAGUGACGGUAUGUGCAGAAGAAGGACCGGCCAACUACGUGCCAGCCGCCGC
rnacentral:rRNA from 1 species